GGGGCUGAAUGACACUAAAGGAAGGCUCUGAGGGGAGUCCAGAGUUGGGAGCAGGCCUGUGGCUAUGCUCCUGAGAAGGGUAGGUAGGAGAGACUGGGUAAGGCUAGGAACAAAGUGAGCCCCUACUGUGAGCCUUGACAAAAGGGUCUUACACCCCCAAGUUCUUGGAAAGAGAUGGACACACACAGCCUGGGAAGAGACCAACAAGGACUGGACCUCCAGGGAGAACAACAAGAGGACAGCACUGCACGUGCCCCAGGCAUGGAGAAGAAUUGCCUUGGGUGGUGGCACCGAGCAUCGCAGCAAGGAACCUACCACCCAGCCUGUGCAAGGAGAAGCGGAGAAAUUAUUCUGUCCGUCAAGCAGCAGGGAGGAGGCCUGAGUCAUGAAAGGAGCAACAUGAUGAUGAUGGGAGUGGUGCUGAAAUCAGCAGCUUACUCAGAGGCCCACUUUAAAAGUUGACGAUCCAGCCCAAAUAGAGAUCAAUGGGAAGCGGCAGGAGCCGGACUGACAGGCGUCCCUGAGUCCCCUUUGUCAGGAAAGGGAAUAAUCAGACCAGGCCCUUUGCUGACAUAGCUUUGCACCCCUGCUAUCCCCUUGCCCCCUGCACAGAGGGUGCCCUGGUGCUGGGGGUGGCCUGUGCAGAGUAGUAAAAGGGCUCCUUACCCUUCCUGACUCCCUGGUGCAGAGAUGCAGCAGUGUUCACAGUGGAGCUCUCUCUUUCUGCAAGCAGGCUGGGUGACUGAUGGGGAGGAGAGAAAAGGGGAGGAGGAGCAAAGGGAUGACAAUAGGAGAAUGGAAGAUGGGAGGGAGGAAAGAGAUGUGAGACAGGUGCGAGAGGGGGAGUUAGGGGAAUACAAACAUUGCUGGGCUCUCCCUUUUUAGUAUCAACACACUGAAAUCCUCAGGCUGUCUACACAAGCAUUUUUAUUCUGCAGUGUAACUGGGUGCAUGACACUAGACAGCAUCUGCUGGGCACCAAGUAGAGACCCCUGGUUUAGUUCUGCUGUGUCUCAAGCGGGAGCAGUUUGGAAUGAGGCGUCUUCUCAUUUCUCCAGUUGAAUAGGCGCAGUGAAGCGCUGUUGUUCUCCAGCUGGAUGGUCUCAGCGGGGUAUCCGUUCGCCUUUAUCAUCACAACUGGGGUUAGUCCCGCUAUAGAACAAAGGCACGGGAACCAACCAGUCCCUUUUUGAGAAACAGCUGUGUAGUGAUAGCCUGCUCUUGUCACUGGGGAAUUUCAAACCUGUAUAAACAGGGCAUUGUACACUUAAGCAGCCUUUGCUGUACAAGUCAGUGCUCUCAGCUGUAGCUCUAUAAAGGGGGGUAACUAUGGGAGUUAGGCACCUCGAUACCUUUGAGGCUCUGGGCCAAAGUCUUCCUGUGUCAGUCUACUUAAAGCAACUGAUUCAUCUCAUUCAAAUGUUUAUGUGGAAUCCCAACUGGAUUAAUCCAUGCUCUGGACUGCGUGCUCAUCUGCUGCCUUUGUGUAGUGCUCUGAGAAUGCUGGGAAGUGGGACCAGAGGACACAAUUGCCAGUGCUUCCCGUUCACAGCAGUGGGGAACUUAUUUCCACUAGCUCAACAGCUGUUCCCAAAAUAUGCUUUGGCAUGACCCACAUUAAUUGUCUGUGAACACUAAAUCCAAUACAAAGUUAAUACAGGAUCCCUUUUAUUUACUCAACCUGCAGGG